AGCAGAGAAAUAAUUUGUCCGCAAAGACGGUGACGUCGCUUAGCAACGGAAGACUGAAGGGAAAAACGGUCUGUCUAGUUACUGGACCAGAUGAAAUGAGACGGAGAGGUAAUAAAGUCUGUCGGCACGAGGACCUUGGAUUUAUUAAGUAAAGUGGCAACGGUUAUACAGAGUCAUAAGCGUGAGAAAUCGAAUAUGUCUAAGUCCCUAAUCAGCGCUGAUGGUUCGUCCGGAGCUUCGCCUCCGUGGAAGGUCUGCUUCAGAAGAAGGUGAAGAGUCUCUGUGUGAUACAGUCUUAUACUGUAUCUUCCUCCUGAUGAGGUGUGUGCGUUUGAGAUGUGUGUGGUUCUGUGUGUUUUACUUGACCUUGGCUCCCAGGCCCUGCUGUGUAUGCCUCCUAACGGGGGAGAGCUCCUCGUUCCUCGUGAUGAGGUGUGUGCGUUUGAGAUGUGUGUGUGGUUCUGUGUGUUUUUACUUGACCUUGGCUCCCAGGCACUAGUGUAUGCAUGUAUAUCUUCUUGUGUUCCUCCUCACGGGGGAGAGCUUCAGAGCAUCUCCUGUUGUGGUCCUCCCGUUCUUGAGGAUGACUGGUGCAUUGUCUGAGUGUCUACCAUCUGCCGGGAGGAGAAAUGGGGCCCUGGCUCCGGCCCUGACCUGACUAUAUUCUCAUGUAUGUGUUAUGUGUUAAAAGUUGACUAUAUUAUAAGGUGACUGCCAUGUGAUGUGCUCAUUAAGCUAGGGUAGGAGUUAGCUAUAUUUAUAAUGUACAUGUGAUGUGCUCAGCAGGUUAUUUUGCCCAACAUGAGAGACCAGGAACCAGCAGAGAUGUUCCUAACAGAGCAAGAAGAAGAGCAAGAGGUCGCCGGGGACGUGGACCUGCUGUUCUUACUCAUGAUGAUUUACUCAGAGUUCAGCAAUUUCAGCAGGAGAGGAUUGCCGCUGAGCAGGCUAGAAUUCAAGCUCUAGACAUCACACAGUCUCAUGAGCUGCUUCUGACCUGCCUGGAAAGGGACCCAAGCAUGCUGUUUGACCUGAUGGCACGAUUCCCAAAUUAUUUGAACACCCGGGCAACCAGAGUGGUGUGUCUGUGGCAGAUGCAGGCAGAUGAUUAGAGACAUUGAGAAGGUGUGCUGCCGACAAACGCUGGACAAUUGCAUCUCUGUCCUGCCUCACAUGGAUGCAUUCAUCUUGCAGCCGGGGGUCCUCCGCAUGGCUAGACGCAUCUGGAAUGACUCCCGAGCAUUAGAAGAUGCACAAACACCGGGGGAAAGCCACAGGCAGUUCCGCUUUUCUGCAUAUAGACAGUAUAUCAUUUAGCAGUAUGGUCAACUUGGACAAGGCCACAGAGUUGUCAUACCAAAUUGCUCUGUUUGGAGAAUACGUGAAAAAUACCCAGACCCCAAUGGGAUCUACAAAGGUUUUAUCCCUAGCCGAAAUGGUAUAGAUGAGGAAUAGACUCCAGCCCAGUGUACCCUGCCCUGUGAAUU
rnacentral:lncRNA from 1 species